rnacentral:rRNA from 1 species
UACGGAGGGUGCAAGCGUUAUCCGGAUUUACUGGGUUUAAAGGGUGUGUAGGCGGGCUUUUAAGUCAGUGGUGAAAUCUCCGGGCUCAACCUGGAAACUGCCAUUGAUACUAUUAGUCUUGAAUUUUGUUGAGGUAGGCGGAAUAAGUCAUGUAGCGGUGAAAUGCAUAGAUAUGACUUAGAACACCAAUUGCGAAGGCAGCUUACUAAGCAAACAUUGACGCUGAGGCACGAAAGCGUGGGAGCGAACAGG